CAAUUUCUACAACCCCUACAUCCUUACACAAGCCUGGAGGGUAUAGCCGACUACACAUCUAGGCUAUAUGGUACUAAUCUUAUGGGACA